ensembl:lncRNA
GCCCGGCAACGCGCGCCCCCUGCCCGCCCGGCACGUCUGUCCCCGGGUGCAGUGGGCUCCCGGGGCCGCUGUUCCCAGGUGGGCUCCCGCACUGAGCGUCUCGAGAACUUUUGGAAAUACAGGUUCCAGCCCAGACUCGCUGAAUUGAAACUCCAGCAGUCUGAGCUCACAGUCCGGGUAAUUCAGGUGAGCGCGAGUCUGCGAGCUCCCGGGCUAGGGGACAGCGGCAACGGGUCGCCCCUUCGACCCUGGAUUCCGAACGGCGCUCGGAAUGAGUGACACGCGUUCUACCAGCUUAGAGAUGCGGAGACAGACUGCAAAGAGCCUAGAACCCGGCGAAGGUCACAGCCGUCAGGUCCGGACUCAGCGGCCCUCCUCUCCGUGCAGAAGGCACCGUUUUCUACCUGUAACCCUAGACGGGCUUCCUUCCAGGUGAUCCUGAGGGUCUCUCCCCCAGCACCGCUGGCACUUGGAUCAGACACCACCUUGGAGGACCAGUGCCAUCCUGGCAGACGUGAGCGCCAUGGGGGUGACUGCCUGCCACUGUCCCGCUGUAAGGGCAGCACCCCCGCUGCCGCCCCAAGCACCCUCUGGAGCAUCCAGAGUGCUGCUCAGCUGGCAGGCAGGCAGCCUGAGGGUGGGAGUCGGUGAAGCCCUAGCCUCUCCUUCAAAAGGACAAUUUGGGGCCCACUCCCCAGGGCUUUGCAGGGGUCCCCAGGCC